rnacentral:rRNA from 1 species
GGGCCCGCACAAGCGGCGGAGCAUGCGGAUUAAUUCGAUGCAACGCGAAGAACCUUACCUGGGUUUGACAUCUGCCGGAAAGCUGCAGAGAUGUGGCCUCCCUUUGGGCCGGUUGACAGGUGGUGCAUGGCUGUCGUCAGCUCGUGUCGUGAGAUGUUGGGUUAAGUCCCGCAACGAGCGCAACCCUUGUCCUAUGUUGCCAGCAAUUCGGUUGGGGACUCAUAGGAGACUGCCGGGGUCAACUCGGAGGAAGGUGGGGAUGACGUCAAGUCAUCAUGCCCCUUAUGUCCAGGGCUUCACGCAUGCUACAAUGGCCGGUACAAAGAGCUGCGAGCCUGUGAGGGUGAGCGAAUCUC